rnacentral:rRNA from 1 species
GGCGGACGGGUUAGUAACGCGUGGGAACGUGCCCUUCUCUACGGAAUAGCCUCUGGAAACGGAGAGUAAUACCGUAUACGCCCUUUGGGGGAAAGAUUUAUCGGAGAAGGAUCGGCCCGCGUUAGAUUAGGUAGUUGGUGGGGUAACGGCCUACCAAGCCUACGAUCUAUAGCUGGUUUUAGAGGAUGAUCAGCAACACUGGGACUGAGACACGGCCCAGACUCCUACGGGAGGCAGCAGUGGGGAAUCUUAGACAAUGGGGGCAACCCUGAUCUAGCCAUGCCGCGUGAGUGAUGAAGGCCUUAGGGUCGUAAAGCUCUUUCGCCUGUGAUGAUAAUGACAGUAGCAGGUAAAGAAACCCCGGCUAACUCCGUGCCAGCAGCCGCGGUAAUACGGAGGGGGUUAGCGUUGUUCGGAAUUACUGGGCGUAAAGCGCGCGUAGGCGGAUUAGAAAGUUGGGGGUGAAAUCCCGGGGCUCAACCCCGGAACUGCCUCCAAAACUGCUAGUCUAGAGUUCGAGAGAGGUGAGUGGAAUUCCGAGUGUAGAGGUGAAAUUCGUAGAUAUUCGGAGGAACACCAGUGGCGAAGGCGGCUCACUGGCUCGAUACUGACGCUGAGGUGCGAAAGUGUGGGGAGCAAACAGGAUUAGAUACCCUGGUAGUCCACACCGUAAACGAUGAAUGCCAGUCGUCGGGUAGUAUACUAUUCGGUGACACACCUAACGGAUUAAGCAUUCC